UAAUACGGAGGAUCCAAGCGUUAUCCGGAUUUAUUGGGUUUAAAGGGUGCGUAGGCGGAUAAAUAAGUCAGUGGUGAAAGCCUGCAGCUUAACUGCAGAACUGCCAUUGAUACUGUUUAUCUUGAAUAUAGUUGAGGUGGGCGGAAUAUGACAUGUAGUGGUGAAAUACUUAGAUAUGUCAUAGAACACCGAUUGCGAAGGCAGCUCACUAAGCUAUGAUUGACGCUGAGGCACGAAAGCGUGGGUAGCAAACAGG
rnacentral:rRNA from 1 species